GCUUGCAUCAUGAUUUACAUUUGAGUGAGUGGCGAACUGGUGAGUAACACGUGGGAAACCUGCCCAGAAGCGGGGGAUAACACCUGGAAACAGAUGCUAAUACCGCAUAACAACUUGGACCGCAUGGUCCGAGUUUGAAAGAUGGCUUCGGCUAUCACUUUUGGAUGGUCCCGCGGCGUAUUAGCUAGAUGGUGGGGUAACGGCUCACCAUGGCAAUGAUACGUAGCCGACCUGAGAGGGUAAUCGGCCACAUUGGGACUGAGACACGGCCCAAACUCCUACGGGAGGCAGCAGUAGGGAAUCUUCCACAAUGGACGAAAGUCUGAUGGAGCAAGCGCCGCGUGAGUGAAGAAGGGUUUCGGCUCGUAAAACUCUGUUGAAUUAAAGAAGAACAUAUCUGAGAGUAACUGUUCAGGUAUUGACGGUAUUUAACCAGAAAGCCACGGCUAACUACGUGCCAGCAGCCGCGGUAAUACGUAGGUGGCAAGCGUUGUCCGGAUUUAUUGGGCGUAAAGCGAGCGCAGGCGGUUUUUUAAGUCUGAUGUGAAAGCCUUCGGCUCAAGUCCCGCAAGAAGUGCAUCGGAAACUGGGAAACUUGAGUGCAGAAGAGGACAGUGGAACUCCAUGUGUAGCGGUGAAAUGCGUAGAUAUAUGGAAGAACACCAGUGGCGAAGGCGGCUGUGACCUGGUCUGUACACUGACGCUGAGGCUCGAAAGUAUGGGUAGCAAACAGGAUUAGAUACCCUGGUAGUCCAUAGCCGUAAACGAUGAAUGCUAAGUGUUGGAGGGUUUCCGCCCUAAGUCAGUGCUGCAGCUAAUCGCAUAUAAGCAUUCCGCCUGGGGAGUACGGCCGCAAGGCUGAAACUCAAAGGAAUUGACGGGGGCCCGCACAAGCGGU
rnacentral:rRNA from 2 species